GCUGUAAUGGGGUGAUAAAAGAAAGGCUCCGUUGCCUGAAGAAAAAGGAUAAUGUUAAUGAGGCAACAGCGAUUGAACAGGACUUUUAUUUUGAUCUAGUGGUGUGACGUCAUAAGGCUGCGCCGCGCUUCUGCGUCUGUUUCAGCUGAAGAGAGGUUAAGUGUCCAAACACACAGAAAAAGUGAGAUCCACACGACUCACUGUUAUAAAGAUGGUGUUUAUUAAAUAGGAGAGUGAAGAGAUGAAGAUAGAAGAAACAUUCAGAGUCAAACAUGAAGAUACUGAGACACACUGUUAUAAAGAUGGCGUUUAUUAAAGAGGAGAGUGAAGACGUAAAGAUUGAAGAAACAUUCAGAGUCAAACAUGAAGAUACUGAGGAACAAACAGACCUGAUGGUGCUGAAAGAGGAGAGUCAAGAACUGAUUGAAAUGGAAGAUAAAUAUCAAUAUAAGAAUCAACACGAUUUUACAACUGGAGAAACACCUUUGAGUUGCUCACAGACUGAAAUAAGUUCCUCAAGAAAAAUGGAUCAAAAGACAGGAAGUAGUAGUUAUUUCACCUGCCAACAGUGUGGAAAGUGUAUAAGUAAAAAAGGAGGUAUUAAAAGACAUAUGAGAACUCACAUAGGAGAGAAGCCUUAUGCCUGCCAACAGUGUGGAAAACAUUUCAGUAAAAAAGAAGCUAUUAAAACACACAUGAGA